AGUUAAGAGGUCUGAGGUGGGUGCUAGGUUCUUACUCUCUGAUGAAAAAUACGGCUUGGAGCAGGGGACUUUGGACUUUCCCACCCAGAGCCCUUCUGGGGAAAUUCUUUGGGAGAUGGCCAAGCCCCCGUCUUCCCUGCAGAUGUUUCACCACUCCUCCGUGAAGAAGAGGAAGAAGUCAAAAUCACAUGCGGAAAUUUCCCAGGUGCCACAGAUGAUGUGGCCAGAAGGAUGACCUCCUCUCGGGUCUCUGAAAAUCAAGGUAGUCAAGCCUUCUGCAGAGAAGCUCAGGACUGCCUGCUAUUAUCUCUCCUCCAAAAGAUAAUAAUUCCACAAACAGUUGUUGCACACCUACAAAAUACUGACUCUGCACCAAACACUGGGGAAUAUAAAGAUGAUUAAGAUACAGUUCUUGUCCUCAGGAGGCUGCUGGCUAGUGGGGGGACACAGGUGAUGAACACAACAACAGCGGCACUAGACACAGUGGCCAGCAGAGAAGGGAGUGGGGAACUUGAGGGUGGGCUGGGUCCUCCUUGAAGGGCAAGACGGGCUAUGAUAAUAGUAUUUAUUGAGCAUUUACUGUGUUCCAGGCACCGUUCUAAGUAUACAUGUAUUAACCAAUUAAAAACAUGCAUGAGGAGGCCAGCCCAGUGGCGUAGUGGGUAAGUUUGCGUGCUCC
rnacentral:lncRNA from 1 species